rnacentral:lncRNA from 1 species
GCAUGGAUUUAUUACGACUGGAUACUGGAUAUGACCCCUCCAAACGCUUGAAACAGAGUCAUGUUAGGAAUGGGGGAGAACCCCAUCCUAACGUACCUAAAAUGAAAGUCCGACUAUCUCGAAAUCGGAUGGGGGGAGAGGCCUUACAGCGCCCUAAUGUGCCCCCACAGUCAUGUCAGGAACAGGAGGAGAACCUCGUCCUGACAUGAGCAAAGUCGAAGGCCCG